rnacentral:rRNA from 1 species
CAAGUCGAGGGGCAUCAGUUUGGUUUGCUUGCAAACCAAAGCUGGCGACCGGCGCACGGGUGAGUAACACGUAUCCAACCUGCCGAUGACUCGGGGAUAGCCUUUCGAAAGAAAGAUUAAUACCCGAUGGCAUAGUUCUUCCGCAUGGUAGAACUAUUAAAGAAUUUCGGUCAUCGAUGGGGAUGCGUUCCAUUAGGCAGUUGGCGGGGUAACGGCCCACCAAACCUACGAUCGGUAGGGGUUCUGAGAGGAAGGUCCCCACACUGGUACUGAGACACGGACCAGACUCC